rnacentral:rRNA from 1 species
GACGAACGCUGGCGGCGGGCUUAACACAUGCAAGUCGAACGGAAAGGCCCUGCUUUUGUGGGGUGCUCGAGUGGCGAACGGGUGAGUAACACGUGAGUAACCUGCCCUUGACUUUGGGAUAACUUCAGGAAACUGGGGCUAAUACCGGAUAGGAGCUCCUGCUGCAUGGUGGGGGUUGGAAAGUUUCGGCGGUUGGGGAUGGACUCGCGGCUUAUCAGCUUGUUGGUGGGGUAGUGGCUUACCAAGGCUUUGACGGGUAGCCGGCCUGAGAGGGUGACCGGCCACAUUGGGACUGAGAUACGGCGCAGACUGCUACGGGAGGCAGCAGGGGGGAAUAUUGCACAAUGGGCGGAAGCCUGAUGCAGCAACGCCGCGUGCGGGAUGACGGCCUUCGGGGUGUAAACCGCUUUCGCCUGAGACGAAGCGUGAGUGACGGUAAUGGGUAAAGAAGCACCGGCUAACUACGUG